GAAAUGCGAUAAGUAAUGUGAAUUGCAGAAUUCAGUGAAUCAUCGAAUCUUUGAACGCACCUUGCGCUCCUUGGUAUUCCUUGGAGCAUGCCUGUUUGAGUAUCAUGAAAUCUUCAAAGUAAAUCUUUUGUUAACUCAAUUGGUUUCUACUUUGGUAUUGGAGGUCUUUGCAGCUUCACACCUGCUCCUCUUUGUUCAUUAGCUGGAUCUCAGUGUUAUGCUUGGUUCCACUCGGCGUGAUAAGUUAUCUAUCGCUGAGGACACUGUAAAAGGUGGCCAAGGUAAAUGCAGAUGAACCGCUUCUAAUAGUCCAUUGACUUGGACAAUACUUUUAUGAUCUGAUCUCAAAUCAGGUAGGACUACCAUCUGAACUUAAGC
rnacentral:misc_RNA from 1 species